GACGAACGCUGGCGGCGUGCCUAACACAUGCAAGUCGAGCGAGUGGAUCUCCUUCGGGAGAGAAGCUAGCGGCGGACGGGUGAGUAACACGUGGGCAACCUGCCUCAUAGAGGGGAAUAGCCUCCCGAAAGGGAGAUUAAUACCGCAUAAGAUUGUAGCUUCGCAUGAAGUAGCAAUUAAAGGAGCAAUCCGCUAUGAGAUGGGCCCGCGGCGCAUUAGCUAGUUGGUGAGGUAACGGCUCACCAAGGCGACGAUGCGUAGCCGACCUGAGAGGGUGAUCGGCCACAUUGGGACUGAGACACGGCCCAGACUCCUACGGGAGGCAGCAGUGGGGAAUAUUGCACAAUGGGGGAAACCCUGAUGCAGCAACGCCGCGUGAGUGAUGACGGCCUUCGGGUUGUAAAGCUCUGUCUUCAGGGACGAUAAUGACGGUACCUGAGGAGGAAGCCACGGCUAACUACGUGCCAGCAGCCGCCGUAA
rnacentral:rRNA from 1 species